rnacentral:rRNA from 1 species
AGCGAACGCCGGCGGCAGGCUUAACACAUGCAAGUCGAGCGCCCCGCAAGGGGAGCGGCAGACGGGUGAGUAACACGUGGGAACGUGCCUUUUGGUUCGGAACAACCCAGGGAAACUUGGGCUAAUACCGGAUAAGCCCUUACGGGGAAAGAUUUAUCGCCAAAAGAUCGGCCCGCGUCUGAUUAGCUGGUUGGUGGGGUAAUGGCCCACCAAGGCUACGAUCAGGAGCUGGUCUGAGAGGAUGGUCAGCCACAUUGGGACUGGGACAAGGCCCAAACUCCUACGGGAGGCAGCAGUGGGGAAUAUUGGACAAUGGGGGCAACCCUGAUCCAGCCAUGCCGCGUGAGUGAUGAAGGCCUUAGGGUUGUAAAGCUCUUUUAGCAGAGAAGACAAUGACGGUACCUGCAGAAAAAGCCCCGGCUAACUUCGUGCCAGCCGCCGCAGUAACAC